AAAUAAGUAAGCUAAAAAAGCUAUUGGGCUCAUACCCCACCUAUAAAGGUCCAUUCCUUUCUUAUUUA
rnacentral:tRNA from 1 species